AAGAAGAGGGCGCUUGGUGAAAGGGGAGAGCAGUGACCUUUGGUUCAAGUGGGUUAAUAUUUUACCAAAAUGUCUGGUAUUGGUAAGCUAUCGAUUUUGUAAUAGGGUUUAUCUCCCCCCACACAAACACGCUUAAUGUAGUUUACACAAACACGCUAAAGUUACGUCACUAUAAUAACGUUAGCGUAAGUCACGGUGUGACUCCCGCGCUCUGUAUUUUUCUCAAAAUGGAGGAGCAGUGGGAAGCGCUGUGCAGAAGAAUGACUGCUCGUGUCCGAAACCAGCAGCAGCACCCCUGGCUCUCUGCGGAGGAGAGGGGGAGACACAAAAGAGCCAGGGGAAGGGAGAUGACCGCCUGUGGGAGACAAGUAUCCGCGGACCAGUUUAGAGAUGAUGGGGAAUGUAACCUCCCUCUCCCAGAGUGUCGAGGGAGAGACCGAACCUCCCCCAAAUAUCUCAAAAGUCAAGGUCCCGAAGUCCACACCGUCCCCCCUCAACUACUCUCAAUGUUAAGGCUCAAAACUGUCAAGGAAGACAUGAGACGGGUCAGGCUGCAGAGGUGGAGCUCCAUGAUCCGGCUGCCUGCAGAGUGUGUGAGCAGGAACGGGCUUCUCUGGCCUUGAGAAGUUUUAUCGGGAGGAAGAAGACACAACUAAAGCUCCAAACACUGACGGGCAGACUAAACACACACUUGAGCUAUGGAGAGGACGUAAAGAGCAUACUACCAAAAGGAAAAGAGAGAAGACUAACACCUGGUCGCAGGAAAUCAUUGUCUGAGCUUUCACACAGGAAACAAGGCCAACUGAGCAGCCGGCCUGCAAACAAUGCUGUCGGCGAGCAGAGCAGCAGUGGGCCAGCCCGCGUACACUUCCUCACAACGUACCCUCUUCAUUUGGAAAGAAAAUAAGGAUUUGCAGUGCAUAACAAAAAUUAUAAUUUACCACAGUAAGGAACUAAACUGACAGCCUCACCUGUGAGAAAGGUGGUAAUUAAACAUCUGGCCAAUUCAUUGUGGGAAAACAGGGAAUAUAUUUUGGGCUGUUGGUUGAGAAAACAAACUUUCAUAUAAAAACGAAUAUUCUACAUCAGUCCUAACGUACAACAAAAAACAGACAUGGUUGUUGGUCCCAUUACAAAUAGUCCAAUUUGUAAAUGUACUAGAUAAAUAAAUAAACUCUCCAGUCUUAAUAUCAUCCUCAGUUUAAGGAAGUCAGACUGUUGUUUUGCGUCAGCCCCCCUUGAUGUGCGUGCAGAGUUUUGGGGAAUUUCUGAAGCUUCACAGUGGAUUUACUGCUCACCAGUUUCUGGGAAACUGAAUCGACACAAGUGGAGGGAAAAUUAUGUUGGACUUAAUUUUCUAAAAAAGGCUACAAGACCUGUCAAUAAAGAGCCGUACAUGAUUCAAGUUCCCUCUGCGAUACCAUCAAGACACUAACAACUUGUGAGUACAAAGUAAGUUAGAACAUUGGGAGUUUUUAAGGCCAGCUUCUGAUAACCAUGGGCCGGGGUUUGUAGAUAUUUGCAGUUGAGACUGCUGUUGCUACUGUUUACGCAUUAAUAAAAGACGCUUGCAAAACAAGCAAUGGCAGUGUCUUCAUUUGGAUUCUCUCUCUACUGCCAUGACAUUUGACAAUUGCGCAUUGUGUGAAUUAGCUAGUAGUGUUACCGUUUGUGGUAACAAAUAAUUAUAGAGUGCUAAAUGAACCCAACAACAAUUAAGAAUGGCUUCUGUUUGAGACUAGUACAGGGAUGGGCAACUUGGAUGGUGGUGGGGGCCACAUAAUGUGUGUACUGGCCACCAGGGGGUUAAUAAGCUCACUAAACAAAUAUCAGUUCACAGAAAUGUUAUUUAAUUUUUACAAGUGUCAUGUUUGUAUUG